UACGAAGGGGGCUAGCGUUGCUCGGAAUCACUGGGCGUAAAGCGCACGUAGGCGGGUCUUUAAGUCAGGGGUGAAAUCCCGGAGCUCAACUCCGGAACUGCCUUUGAUACUGGGGAUCUUGAGUCCGGAAGAGGUGAGUGGAACUCCGAGUGUAGAGGUGAAAUUCGUAGAUAUUCGGAAGAACACCAGUGGCGAAGGCGGCUCACUGGUCCGGUACUGACGCUGAGGUGCGAAAGCGUGGGGAGCAAACAGG
rnacentral:rRNA from 1 species